AUUGCACGCUGGCGGCAGGCCUAACACAUGCAAGUCGAACGAGUGGCGGACGGGUGAGUAAUGUUUGGGAAACUGCUUGAUGGCGGGGGAUAACUAUUGGAAACGGUAGUUAAUACCGCAUACCAUCAGAUUUGCCCAGAUGGGAUUAGCUAGUUGGUGGGGUAACGGCUCACCAAGGCGACGAUCCCUAGCUGGUCUGAGAGGAUGAGCAGCCACACUGGAACUGAGACACGGUCCAGACUACUACGGGAGGCAGCAGUGGGGAAUAUUGCACAAUGGGCGCAAGCCUGAUGCAGCAAUGCCGCGUGUAUGAAGAAGGCCGUCGGGUUGUAAAGUACUUUCAGUGGGGAGGCGUUACCCGCAGAGGAAGCAACGGCUAACUCCGUGCCAGCAGCCGCGGUAAUUC
rnacentral:rRNA from 1 species